rnacentral:tRNA from 1 species
GGGUUGUAGCUCAGGGGUAGAGCACUCACCUAGCAAGGGUGAGGCACUGGGUUCAAUCCUCAACACUCA